rnacentral:rRNA from 1 species
CAAUAGCGUAUAUUUAAGUUGUUGCAGUUAAAAAGCUCGUAGUUGGAUUUCGGAUGGGACUUGCCGGUCCGUCGUUUCGAUGUGCACUGGCCAGUCCUAUCUUGUUGUCGGGGACUAGCUCCUGGGCUUCACUGUCCGGGACUAGGAGCUGACGAGGUUACUUUGAGUAAAUUAGAGUGUUCAAAGCAAGCCUACGCUCUGAAUACAUUAGCAUGGAAUAACACGAUAGGACUCUAGCUUAUCUUGUUGGUCUGUGAGACCAGAGUAAUGAUUAAGAGGGACAGUCGGGGGCAUUCGUAUUUCAUUGUCAGAGGUGAAAUUCUUGGAUUUAUGAAAGACGAACUUCUGCGAAAGCAUUUGUCAAGGAUGUUUUCAUUAA